rnacentral:rRNA from 1 species
UUGGUGAGGUAACGGCCCACCAAGGCGACGACGGGUAGCCGGCCUGAGAGGGCGACCGGCCACACUGGGACUGAGACACGGCCCAGACUCCUACGGGAGGCAGCAGUGGGGAAUAUUGCACAAUGGGCGAAAGCCUGAUGCAGCGACGCCGCGUGAGGGAUGACUGCCUUCGGGUUGUAAACCUCUUUCAGCAGGGACGAAGCGAAAGUGACGGUACCUGCAGAAGAAGCACCGGCCAACUACGUGCCAGCAGCCGCGGUAAUACGUAGGGUGCAAGCGUUGUCCGGAAUUAUUGGGCGUAAAGAGCUCGUAGGCGGCUUGUCGCGUCGGCUGUGAAAACCUGGGGCUCAACCCCGGGCCUGCAGCCGAUACGGGCAAGCUAGAGUUCGGUAGGGGAGACUGGAAUUCCUGGUGUAGCGGUGAAAUGCGCAGAUAUCAGGAGGAACACCGGUGGCGAAGGCGGGUCUCUGGGCCGAAACUGACGCUGAGGAGCGAAAGCGUGGGGAGCGAACAGGAUUAGAUACCCUGGUAGUCCACGCUGUAAACGUUGGGCGCUAGGUGUGGGGGGCCUCUCCGGUUCUCUGUGCCGCAGCUAACGCAUUAAGCGCCCCGCCUGGGGAGUACGG